rnacentral:rRNA from 1 species
GGGGGAUAACACUUAGAAAUAGGUGCUAAUACCGCAUAAGCGCACGGUUCCGCAUGGAACAGUGUGAAAAACUCCGGUGGUAUACGAUGGAUCCGCGUCUGAUUAGCCAGUUGGCGGGGUAACGGCCCACCAAAGCGACGAUCAGUAGCCGGCCUGAGAGGGUGAACGGCCACAUUGGGACUGAGACACGGCCCAAACUCCUACGGGAGGCAGCAGUGGGGAAUAUUGCACAAUGGGGGAAACCCUGAUGCAGCGACGCCGCGUGAGUGAAGAAGUAUCUCGGUACGUAAAGCUCUAUCAGCAGGGAAGAAAAUGACGGUACCUGAUUAAGAAGCCCCGGCUAACUACGUGCCAGCAGCCGCGGUAAUACGUAGGGGGCAAGCGUUAUCCGGAUUUACUGGGUGUAAAGGGAGCGUAGACGGCAGCGCAAGUCUGGAGUGAAAUGCCGGGGCCCAACCCCGGAACUGCUUUGGAAACUGUGCAGCUCGAGUGCAGGAGAGGUAAGCGGAAUUCCUAGUGUAGCGGUGAAAUGCGUAGAUAUUAGGAGGAACACCAGUGGCGAAGGCGGCUUACUGGACUGUAACUGACGUUGAGGCUCGAAAGCGUGGGGAGCAAACAGGAUUAGAUACCCUGGUAGUCCACGCCGUAAACGAUGAUUACUAGGUGUCGGGGGGCCAAGGCCCUCCGGUGCCGGCGCAAACG